UUUGUGGAGAGUAUGAUACCGGCUCAGGACGAACGCUGGCGGCGUGGAUUAGGCAUGCAAGCCGAACGAGAAACCGAGCUUCGGCUCGGUGGAAAGUGGCGAAAGGGUGAGUAACGCGUGGGUAAUUUGCCUCUGAGAUGGGGAUAACAACUCGAAAGAGUUGCUAAUACCAAAUACGAUUCGGUUGACUUCGGUCGGCCGAAUGAAAGGUGGCUUCGGCUGCCGCUCGGAGAUGAGCCCGCGUCCUAUUAGCUUGUUGGUGAGGUAACGGCUCACCAAGGCAACGAUGGGUAGCUGGUCUGAGAGGAUGGUCAGCCACAUUGGGACUGAGACACUGCCCAAACUCCUACGGGAGGCUGCAGUCGAGAAUAUUUCGCAAUGGGGGAAACCCUGACGAUGCGACGCCGCGUGGGGGAUGAAGGCCUUCGGGUUGUAAACCUCUGUGUUACGGGAUGAAUUGAGCGUUGCUGAUAACGCAGCGUUUUUGACGUUACCGUAGUAGAAAGCCCCAGCUAACUACGUGCCAGCAGCUGCGGUAAUACGUAGGGGGCAAGCGUUGUCCGGAAUCACUGGGCGUAAAGCGCGCGCAGGCGGUAGAGUAAGUCAGACGUGAAAGGGUUCGGCUCAACCGAGCCAUUGCGUUUGAUACUACUUUACUUGAGUCUAGAAGAGGAAAGUGGAAUGUAUGGUGUAGCGGUGGAAUGCUUAGAUAUCAUAUAGAACACCCGUGGCGAAGGCGGCUUUCUGGUCUAAGACUGACGCUCAUGCGCGAAAGUUUGGGGAGCAACCGGGAUUAGAUACCCCGCUAGUCCUUACUGUAAACGAUGGGUACUAAGUGUAGGGGGUGUUGAUUCCCUCUGUGCUGUAGCUAACGCAUUAAGUACCCCGCCUGGGGAGUACGGCCGCAAGGUUAAAACUCAAGGUAAUUGACGGGGGGCCGCACAAGCGGUGGAGCAUGUCGCUUAAUUCGACGCAACGCGAAGAACCUUAUCCAGGGCUUGACAUCGCAGUGACCGCCAUAGAAAUAUGGUUUUCCUUCGGGACACUAUGACAGGUGCUGCAUGGCUGUCGUCAGCUCGUGUCGUGAGAUGUUGGGUUAAG
rnacentral:rRNA from 1 species